GCUUUCGUGGUGUAGUGCUCAGAACGCUCGACUCGUAUUCGAGAGGUCCUUAGUUCCAGUCUCGGCGAACGCA
rnacentral:tRNA from 1 species